AGAGUUUGAUCCUGGCUCAGGACGAACGCUAGCGACGUGCCUAAGAAAUGCAAGUCGAGCGGGGUUAUUGGGGCUUGCCCUGAUAACCUAGCGGCGAACGGUCGCGUAACACGUAAGCAACCUGCCCUGAAGUGGGGGAUAGUCUUCCGAAAGGGGGCUUAAUACCGCAUGUGGUCAGUUAUUCGCAUGUUUGACUGACUAAAGCAGUAAUGCGCUUCAGGAUGGGCUUGCGGCCUAUCAGCUAGUUGGUGUGGGUAACGGCCCACCAAGGCGACGACGGGUAGCUGGUCUGAGAGGAUGGUCAGCCGGACUGGGACUGAGACACGGCCCAGACUCCUACGGGGGGCAGCAAUUAGGAAUCUUGCGCAAUGGGCGAAAGCCUGACGCAGCGACGUCGCGUGACUGAUGAAGUCUUUCGGGAUGUAAAGGUCUUUUAUGGGGGAAGAAGGAUGUGACGGUACCCCAAGAAUAAGCCCCGGCUAACUACGUGCCAGCAGCCGCGGUAAUACGUAGGGGGCGAGCGUUGUCCGAAUUUACUGGGCGUAAAGCGCGCGUAGGCGGGCUUUUAAGUUGUGGGUGAAAUCCCGAGGCUCAACCUCGGAACUGCCUGCAAAACUGGAAGUCUGGAGUUAUGGAGAGGGAAGUGGAAUUCCUGGUGUAGCGGUGAAAUGCGUAGAUAUCAGGAGGAACACCUGUGGCGAAGGCGGCUUCCUGGCCAUAUACUGACGCUGAGGCGCGAAAGCUAGGGGAGCAAACGGGAUUAGAUACCCCGGUAGUCCUAGCCGUAAACGAUGGAUACUAGGUGUUAGAGGUAUCGACCCCUCUAGUGCCGGAGCUAACGCAUUAAGUAUCCCGCCUGGGGAGUACGACCGCAAGGUUGAAACUCAAAGGAAUUGACGGGGGCCCGCACAAGCGGUGGAGCAUGUGGUUUAAUACGUCACUAACCGUAGAACCUUACCCAGGCUUGACAUCUGGGGAAUCCUGAUGAAAGUCGGGAGUCUUCGUAAGAUGAACCCCAAGACAGGUGUUGCAUGGCUGUCGUCAGCUCGUGUCGUGAGAUGUUGGGUUAAGUCCCGCAACGAGCGCAACCCUCAUCCGAUGUUGCCAGCGUAAAGUCGGGAACUCUUCGGAAACUGCCCGUGUAAGCGGGAGGAAGGUGGGGAUGACGUCAAGUCAGCAUGGCCCUUACGCCUGGGGCUACACACAUGCUACAAUGGACGUAAACAAUGGGCAGCAAUACCGCGAGGUGGAGCUAAUCUCACAAAUACGUCCUCAGUUCGGAUCGCAGUCUGCAACUCGACUGCGUGAAGUCGGAAUCGCUAGUAACCGCAGGUCAGCUAAACUGCGGUGAAUACGUUCCC
rnacentral:rRNA from 1 species